AUGGAGUUGAUGGAGGGGGGGGGGGGGACCCGCCCCGCCGGAGGGAGGGGGUCCGCACCCCCGGGGGAAUCCCGGCCGCGCCCUGGGAGUUUGGCCGGCUCACGGGCGAGGGACCGGGAGAUCCCUCGGGGAGAGUCGGGGGUGCCGGCCGGGCCCCGGCUGGCUCCCCGGGGAGAGUCAGAGACAGUAAUCAUCCUCACCGUGAUAGGUGUUGCGCGCUUACUAUGUGCCGGGCACCGCACCGAGCCCCGGGAUGGAUACGGGCAACCCCAUCCCGGACGGUCCACGCUGGGUCACUGGGGAGAGCCGGGGAUGGAGAGGGGCGAGGCAGAGGGGUCGGGUGGUCCCAUGCCGGCUCACUGGAGGAGUCAGGGGUGGACAGGGGAGAGGCAGAGGGGUUGGAGGGUCCGUGCCGGGUCACUGGUGGUGGGGGGAGUCAGGGGAUGGAGAGAGGAGAACCAGGGGUGUCCUUGCUGGGUCCACCGGGGGAGAGUCAGGAGGCCUCGGUGUCGGACGGGGGGGAAUCGGGGGUGUUGGGUGGUCCGUGGUGGGGCACUGGGGGCAGACAGAGGUGUUGGGUGGUCCGUACUGGGGCGCCGGGGGAGAGUCCGAGGUGUUGGAGGGUCCGUGCCGGGGCCCUGGGGGUCAGUCGGGGGCUGGAGAGGGGAGAACCGGGGCGUUGGAUGUUCCGCGCCGGCUCCCUGGGGGACAGACGGGGGUGUUGGUCCCCGCUGGCUCACUGGGGGACGGUCGGGGGGUGUUGGCUGGUUCGUGCCGGGUCGCCGGGGGGGGGGGGGGGGACAGUCGGGGGAUGGAGAGGGAAGAGACGGGGUGGUCCGCGCUGAGGCCCCGGGGGAGAGACAGAGGUGUUGGACGGCUCGGCCCUUUCCUCCUGGGGAGUGUUGGGGUGCGGGAGGGGGAGGCGCCCCCGAUCCCUCCCCGAGCAAGUCCGGGGGGCGACCCGGGAGGGGGUCCGGAGCUCGCCCCCGGCCCUCUUGGUCGGGCGGGGCGGCGUCCGGGGCCGCUGUGAGGCUGGAGGGGUGCAGUCGGGGAGGUCACCUGUUGCCCUCCGGUCCCGUCCGAGCCGCCGCCCGGACCAUUGUUUCGCAGCCAACCGAAAACCGGGCGGGGCGGGAGGGAGGGGAAAGGGAGAGGCCGCCGGGUCUUCCCUUUCCGUCGGGGACUUGA
rnacentral:lncRNA from 1 species